rnacentral:rRNA from 1 species
CCCUUAGAUGUUCUGGGCCGCACGCGCGCUACACUGAUGCAUUCAACGAGUUUCUUCCUGGUCCGAGAGGAAUGGGUAACCUUUUGAAAGUGCAUCGUGAUAGGGAUAGACUAUUGCAAUUAUUGGUCUUCAACGAGGAAUACCUAGUAGACGUAGUUCAUCAGACUGCAUCGAUUACGUCCCUGCCCUUUGUACACACCGCCCGUCGCUCCUACCGAUUGAAUGCUCAGGUGAGCCAUUCGGACUUUCAUCAUGCUGGUUUCCAGUUUUGAUGAAGGAAAGUCUUGCGAACCUUAUCAUUUAGAGGAAGGAGAAGUCGUAACA